rnacentral:rRNA from 1 species
UACGUAGGGGGCAAGCGUUGUCCGGAAUCAUUGGGCGUAAAGAGCGUGUAGGCGGCCCGGUAAGUCCGCUGUGAAAGUCCAGGGCUCAACCCUGGGAUGCCGGUGGAUACUGUCGGGCUCGAGUCCGGAAGAGGAGUGUGGAAUUCCUGGUGUAGCGGUGAAAUGCACAGAUAUCAGGAGGAACACCGGUGGCGAAGGCGGGUCUCUGGGCCGAAAUUGACGCUGAGGAGCGAAAGCGUGGGGAGCAAACAGG